rnacentral:lncRNA from 1 species
CAGGUACUAGUUCAACCCUGGUCUCAUUUGUUGUGGCUCUCGCCUCUGUCAUUGUUUUGUGGCUUUGCAGAAUCGAGGUCCUGCUUGAUGAGAAAGUGACUCGCUCAAUUUGCUGUGAGCUUUUGCUGUCAGUUUAUUGUUCCUUUGGUGAUGAGUUCAUUUUUUGCAGUAGGUAUGCUACUUCAGAGACAAGAGCUUCUAUGACGCUUGCUUUUGCCGAGAACGAAGACUUGUUUGCUAUUAUGUAGUGGUAUGGGUUGAAAUGCUUGUAUGGAUGGUGCUUGGCUAGAGGCGUUGGAGUCCACGAGUUGUUCUGGAAGCUGCUCGGUGUCUAGGGUAUAGCUCGUUGUCAUCUGCACUUACUCUACUGGGUGGAUAAGAGGGCUGUACUGUGAAAAUUAUGUCUAUGCAUAUAAGUCUGUUGAGCAUCUUUUUCCUCUGUUUUGUGCGUGGCAGUAACUUUUCCUCAGAGGGAGGGAACGAAGGAGGCAGAGGAACCAGCCUCGGGCAUCCAAUGAUUUGUAGCAAGUAAUGUUGAUAUUGGCAUUCUAGAUGUUUUGUUCAUGGUUGUCUCUGUUCUGUGUGUGCUUGCCUCCUCGCAUUUCCUCCUGAUCCAUAUAAGUUGAAAACAGUUAGAUUGAUUUGGGGGCCAUAAAAAGCUAAGUUUGAUUACUGAGUACUACUUUCUACAUGACUUCUGGAAAGUUUUAUUUCUAUAAUGCCAGUGCCAUUCCUCCCUUUUUCGUUUCCUUUGUUUGAGAUGAAACAAUUUGUAGUGCCCUUCUACUAGGUCUGCACUGUUCCAAUAGCACUAGCAGUCUAGCACUGCAAAACGUCCUCCCUAGGCGCCUGAAUUUCCAGACAUGUUUCAGUUUCAGUCUUGCUGUGGAGGUUCAGUUUUGUUUUGUAACCCACAUUAGAGUUUCAGUGAAUUAAAUUUUAGUUUCUUCGUGUAGCCGAAGUUCAGGUCUCUAUGCUGUAGUUCAAGUUCAGGUUCAAUCACAUAGAAUCUUGGUUCUUAGUUCAAUAUUUGAGUCUCAUGUUAGUGUGGUUGUGCCCAUACCUCCUUCAUUAUUUUUUUUUAAUUUUGGUUUCAGGUUCAGGAUUGUUAGUUUUUUUUGUUUUAUAAUUCUAGGUUUCUAGUUCCUAGACUUUAAUUUUAGGUUCAGGAUUGUUAUUAGUUGAUUCUUAGUUAGUAUUUUAUCUUUAAUUCCACAAAGGCAGUCUUCAUUUUUUUUCGUAUCCUAGUUUUAGUUUCAGUAACUCAGCUCCAUCAUAUUUCAGUUACUAAGUUUUAGUAAACUCGUGCAGCAGCUGUAAGUUGCCUUUAGUCUAAAUCAAUGAAGCCUGAUUGCUUGAUUUAGUGAGUGGAACUAGCUGUAAUUUGGCAGUAGUAGCAGUGGCAUUUCUGUAUUGCAGAGACAAUACCUCGAUCUAGCUUAUAGGUUUUGCAUUGUCACUCCUAACAAGUCAAUGUGUAUUCAGUUUGUGAGCCAUGUCAUUUUCAUACAAUAUUUCCAUAUUGAUCCUUAGUCUAUAGCUUUGGUUAAUUUCUUUGCAACUCAAUUUAUUAUGCUUCACUGAGUUUUAGAAAAUUCGGAGCAGUAGCUGACUGAGAUGAAUGUGGUUUCAUUUCUCGUGCAAUGUCACUUUCAAGAUACAAAAAUGUCACUUUCAGGUUUGCAAUGACUUUUUUGUUGUUUGUUCCUUCUAUUAGUCUCUGUUUUAAUGCUUGACCCAUUGGCGAAUGGAUAGCUGCAGGUCAGUUUUUAUUUUCAAUGUCUUGUCUUAAAUCAAUGUGGAUUUGGCUAGUUCGUGGAGGCAUCUCUUGCAACUCUAGUCUCAUUUGCAUAUCUAGGGUAACGAUAAGCUCUAAAGAUUAGGAAUGCUGAGUAGAGAGUAUGAGAUCCUCUUGCUGAGUCUUCUACAAUUACUGGAAGUAUGAUGGGUGGAGAUUAGUCUAGUAAUAUAAUUAGAUCUGAAAUAGUAGUUCUUAGAGACAAGUUGUAGAGCUACUUCUGUUUCCAUACAACAUAAUUUUUGUUUAGUCUUAACUUGAGCCUCCUGGUCUCAGCUCAAAUAUAUAGAAACACCAGCUUAGUUUAAUAUUCAGGUUUGCAAUGCAGACCUAUUCAGAGCUCUAGGCAAAUGUGAACAGAUUUUUUGUGCAAUGUCCUUUUAUCGUACAGUGAUCCUUUUGAGCAAUCAUUGCACACAUCUUUUUAGUAUUUGUUUAUUCCAUGACUAAUAGUCUCCUACGGUUAGUUUAAAUCUUUCUAGCUUAAGUUGCAUAGAUGCAUGGCCGAUGGAUAGCAGUAGCAGAUAAAUGGUCACUGGUUUGUAGCAGCUUAACGGGUUCAUUUUAGUGUUCUCUUUUCUGGCAGUUCAGUGCAACAGCUUACUUUUGUUUCAUCUUGUGGCAUCACUUUCAUAAGGAUAGUGUUUCAAUCAAGCAAUAAAUACUAUUUCUUCGAAUCAAUUUAUUCCAUAUUUUUGAUGUAGUCACGGUCUUCUUCUCAUGUGCUGAUUGCUUUGUUGGUUCAAAAGAUCUUAGUUAAUUCACUGUUUUUCUUGAACUGAACAAUGGUCAGACUAGAGUAGUUCUCCGCUAAAGAACUGAUUGUGCUGAUUGGUUAGUUUAUCUAGAAUUUAUCAAGUGUUGUGGUGGAGCCCAGGGAUCAUAGAGAGUAGAAAUGUGAGGCGUCUGCCAGGUUUUUCAUGAUAGAUACUCUAUUUUUGAGUUGCAUCACAAAAAUGAAUUGUUACAUUUUUUGUUUGGUGAAAACAAACUUGUGCUUUUUUGAGUUUUGACACCAUAUGGAUUUCCAAAAACUCAACAGGUCCUAAAUCUAUUUUUCAUUAAUUUGCAAUACUAGCAUGACAAGUUUGCAAAGGUCUACCUAGAUGAACGAUUAUGUCUCAUCGGUUUUCCCCUCUGUCCAUGACUGACAGAGAUAUCUUUUUUCAUGUUGGUCGUGACUGAAUUAUUGACACUGAAUUCUUUUUCAGUUCCCUACAUAAUCCCUGACUGUUGUUUCUUACGCAUUUAUCGGUUUCUAUAGGUAUUGAAGUAUCAGCAUAUCAGAAGUUUAUACAGACGGCUAGGUCUGCAAAGAAUCCAAGCAGUACAUCAGUAAGUAUUAUUCACCACCUUUUCACUUGGAAGCCUUGCUGCCAGUUAACUUUCUUUUCUUUGUGCAUAGAUCCUUGUGGAUGAGCCCUCCUCAUGCAUGUUAUUUUAUUAUGUCAACAUCUCAUUUUAGUGUGGUUGUGAGCCUACAUGUGUUAGUGUGUUUGUGAACUUGGAUGCAAGCCACACUAUUCGUUCGAAUUGUGAGCCUAGAUGCAGGCCAUGUUUUUUUGUAGUAUCCCUUUGUGUCAUGUUUAUCAUACAUACGAGACUAUUUU